GAUGAACGCUGGCGGCGUGCCUAAUACAUGCAAGUCGAGCGAACGGACGAGAAGCUUGCUUCUCUGAUGUUAGCGGCGGACGGGUGAGUAACACGUUGAUAACCUACCUAUAAGACUGGGAUAACUUCGGGAAACCGGAGCUAAUACCGGAUAAUAUUUUGAACCGCAUGGUUCAAAAGUGAAAGACGGUCUUGCUGUCACUUAUAGAUGGAUCCGCGCUGCAUUAGCUAGUUGGUAAGGUAACGGCUUACCAAGGCAACGAUGCAUAGCCGACCUGAGAGGGUGAUCGGCCACACUGGAACUGAGACACGGUCCAGACUCCUACGGGAGGCAGCAGUAGGGAAUCUUCCGCAAUGGGCGAAAGCCUGACGGAGCAACGCCGCGUGAGUGAUGAAGGUCUUCGGAUCGUAAAACUCUGUUAUUAGGGAAGAACAUAUGUGUAAGUAACUGUGCACAUCUUGACGGUACCUAAUCAGAAAGCCACGGCUAACUACGUG
rnacentral:rRNA from 1 species